rnacentral:rRNA from 1 species
GACGAAUGCUGGCGGCGUGCUUAACACAUGCAAGUCGAACGGAAAGGCCCUGCUUUUGUGGGGUGCUCGAGUGGCGAACGGGUGAGUAACACGUGAGUAACCUGCCCUUGACUUUGGGAUAACUUCAGGAAACUGGGGCUAAUACCGGAUAGGAGCUCCUGCUGCAUGGUGGGGGUUGGAAAGUUUCGGCGGUUGGGGAUGGACUCGCGGCUUAUCAGCUUGUUGGUGGGGUAGUGGCUUACCAAGGCUUUGACGGGUAGCCGGCCUGAGAGGGUGACCGGCCACAUUGGGACUGAGAUACGGCCCAGACUCCUACGGGAGGCAGCAGUGGGGAAUACUGCACAAUGGGCGGAAGCCUGAUGCAGCAACGCCGCGUGCGGGAUGACGGCCUUCGGGUUGUAAACCGCUUUCGCCUGUGACGAAGCGUGAGUGACGGUAAUGGGUAAAGAAGCACCGGCUAACUACGUG